AUUUUUGGAUAAUCGCAUGGGAUAACCAUGAGGAAAGUCCAUGCUAGCACUGGCUGUGAUGCCGGUAGUGUUUGUGCUAGACGAAAAAAUAAGUCUAGGGACAUGGUGACAUGUUACGGCGGAUAAAAUGACUAAGUCUUCUGAUAGGUCAGAGUUAUCCUGAAAGUGCCACAGUGACGUAGUUUUUAUGGAAACGUAAAAAGUGGAACGCGGUAAACCCCUCAAGCUAGCAACCCAAACUUUGGUCGGGGCAUGGGAAAGCUGGAAACGAACAGUCUUUCCUGACUGCAUAAGCAGUAGACAGAUGAUUAUCGAAGGCGGCAGAGCCUAGUGUCGCUGGAACAAAACAUGGCUUAUAGAA
rnacentral:RNase_P_RNA from 1 species